GACGAACCGUGCGAACGUUAUUCGGAAUCACUGGGCUUAAAGCGCGUGUAGGCGGCCCGGCACGUCGAGUGCUGAAAGCCCCCGGCUCAACCGGGGAAGCGGCCUCGAUACGACCGGGCUGGAGGGGGGUAGGGGAACCGGGAACUUCCGGUGGAGCGGUGAAAUGCGUUGAGAUCGGAAGGAACGCCCGCGGCGAAAGCGCGGUUCUGGACCCCGCCUGACGCUGAGACGCGAAAGCUAGGGGAGCGAACGGGAUUAGAUACCCCGGUAGUCCUAGCCGUAAACCAUGGGCACUGGGUAGGGGGCUCGCCGAUGGGCUCCCUGCCGCAGCGAAAGCGUGAAGUGCCCCGCCUGGGGAGUAUGGUCGCAAGGCUGAA
rnacentral:rRNA from 1 species